AGGGGAAUUAGUCAUCGUCAUCCUCAGAUCUUUGCUUAAUUCAUCCAAGAUGAAGGGUGCCAAUUGGCUCUCAAGCCAAUUUUCACUCAACUCAUCCGAGGACAAGAAGCGCUAGGUGGCCCUUGUAAUGGGUCUCCACUCAACUCAUUCGAGGAUGAGGAGCACUAGUUGGCCCUCUUUACGGCCUCCACCCGACUUGUCCUUGGAUAAGGAGUGCCUAUUGGCCUUUCC
rnacentral:lncRNA from 1 species